ACGCAUAUGGUGAAAUGGUAUCAUGCUUGCCUUCCAUUGCUGAGAGCAAGCGGCGGGGGUUCGAUUCCCUCUGUGCGUA